rnacentral:rRNA from 1 species
CAGCUCUCCGAGUGGUAGGGACGAUUAUUGGGCUUAAAGCGUCCGUAGCCGGCUUAACAAGUCUUCCGUUAAAUCCAACGAUCUAAUCGUUGGGCUGCGGGAGAUACUGUUGGGCUAGGAGGCGGGAGAAGCCGACGGUAUUCUCGGGGUAGGGGUGAAAUCCUGUAAUCCCGGGAGGACCACCAGUGGCGAAGGCGGUCGGCUAGAACGCGCUCGACGGUGAGGGACGAAAGCUGGGGGAGCAAACCGGAUUAGAAACCCGGGUAGUCCCAGCUGUAAACGAUGCGGGCUAGGUGUUGGGGUGGCCACGAGCCACUUCAGUGCCGCAUGGAAGCAAUUAAGCCCGCCGCCUGGGGAGUACGGCCGCAAGGCUGAAACUUAAAGGAAUUGGCGGGGGAGCACCACAAGGCGUGAAGCUUGCGGUUCAAUUGGAGUCAACGCCGGGAACCUUACCGGGGGCGACAGCAGGAUGAAGGCCAGGUUGAUGGUCUUGCUGGACGAGCUGAGAGGAGGCGCAUGGCCGUCGUCAGUUCGUGCCGUGAGGUGUCCUCUUAAGUGAGGUAACGAUCGAGACCCGCGCCCCUUGUUGCUAACAGACUCCAUCGGGGUCUGUGCACACUAGGGGGACCGCCGUCGAUAAGACGGAGGAAGGAGCGGGCCACGGCAGGUCAGUAUGCCCCGAAUCCCCCGGGCCACACGCGAGCUGCAAUGGCAGGGACAAUGGGUGUCGACUCCGAAAGGAGGAGGUAAUCUCUAAACCCUGCCUCAGUUGGGAUCGAGGGCUGAAACCCGUCCUCGUGAAUAUGGAAUGCCUAGUAAUCGCGCGUCAUCAUCGCGCGGUGAAUACGUCCCCGCUCCUU